GGAUUUGAGGUGACAGUGCCUACGGGGUGACAGCCAUAGUUGGAGCCUUUUAGACAUUUCUCUCCACAUCUCUCUCCCCAUGAAGUUUCAACACCACAGACAUAAAGCAUGUGUUUAUGGACCGCAGAGGGGAGAAAAAAGAGAGAGGUUGCUAAAGAACGUGAUCGGCAGAUGAGAGACCUGAGUUCAGAGGGAUGCAGUGGCCUUCGGGGACCUCCAGUGACCUCCCAUUGUGCAGACAAGCUGGGCUGGACUAAAGCCUAGUCCCUUUGGGCGCUUGCUCCUUUGUGGUGGCAAAGGGCUACAUGAUUCAGGUAAAAUCCCACCACUAUGGGCACUCUAUGACUUCCACAUUCAGUUUCUUGUAAUGGAAUUUUGAUAAAUAUAAACAAUGCGUUAGGAAACAAGGCCUCCAUUUUUAGGAUCUGGAAAUUGAACAGGACUUAUAUUCUUUUUGUGGUUAAAUAAUACACAAAAAUAAGUGUCCUUUCUCCUUCUAAUAUCCUGGGUCUUUUUGUAUGAUACUGUUCUUGGGUGAGCUUGGUUAUUGUAGAGGUGCUGAAUGUCUGAGGAGGAGAGGGGAAUUGAAGCCUUAAUGGAAAGACAAAGAACUGGUAACAGUUCAGCAAGCCCACACCUCUGAUGGAUUCUUCCUAUCUACAAAGCCAGUCGCACAGCCAAAUUCUUUCAUUACAGAAAAGACUGUUUCAAAGAUAUAAAAAAAAAAUCCUUUGGGAUUUUCACCUUAACAGCGUCCUCAUCUGGGAAUGGGGUCAAUAACAGCAAUUCCUCCUAGACUUGAGGCGAGGAUGAGGAUGAUGCACGGUUUUAAGCACAACGCAUUGUAAGUAGGAACUGUGAGACAUCAUUACCAUUAUUAUUAUUAUUAUUAUUAUUAUUAUUAUUAUUAUUAUUGGUGCCCAAUGCCAAAGGAGGAUGGCAGUGGAGGAGGCCUCCCUAAGGCCUGGACAAAGCUGCAAAGUAGCAGCAGCUUGUCUGUGAUUCUCUUCCAAUUCUCUUUGGUAUCCCCUGAUUCCCUUCCAAUGUCAACAGCUCACUCGGGCCUGCCUGCUCUUAAAAUAGUAACUGGAUACAAAGUUCUUUCUCUCUUCAUCUCCAUGCCCUGAUGUUUUAGAUUUAAGUACUUCACAAUCAGGUCUGAAUUACUAAUAGGUUUAAUCUUCCUCAAGAUAUUUGAAUCUUAAGAGGGAAAAGAGGGGCUACCUAUGAGGGAAUGCUUACGCGACAUGUAGAAAGCAGAAGUUUCUACAGGUCAUAUAAUCGUAAGUUGAAUAACCUGAUCAUGGCUAAUAAUUUUUCAUUAUAAUGAGCUUUUGCAUCUCUUUCUAGAGUUAAAUGCAAAUAUUUCUUUUUCAUGAAAAGUGAGGAAAAUGAAGACAAGAUCUUUGCAUUUUUAUCUCUGUUUCCCAGAAAAAGCAUAUUGGGAAUGUAUAUCCAGAAAUUUUCUUUAUUAUGUAAUUAAAAUUAGCCAUUGAUGUCUUGCUGUGAAUUCAGUUUCAGAAAUUGUCAGAAUUCACUCCCUUCCGUCCCCCACAGUUGGGUUCAAACUUUGAAAACACCUUCCUUCUCCGCAGUUGUUCGUCACCAAGGCCUUUAACUGUCUUCUGAAACACUCACUCUGCUGCCAGAGCUCUUCAUUGUCUCCAGACGUCCCUUCAACACCAGCAUCCAGCUGUUUUUUCUUAUAUUUUGGCCUCACCGCGUCAGCAGCCUGCUCUGAAGCACUCCGUUGUCUAUCUGCUGUGUUGAGUAAGGUCUUCUGCCCAGCUUCAAGUCCCCUUAGACAUCGGCUGUACUCGAUUUUUGUCUUCCACUUUUUACUUAAAAAUUAAUCAGAUUCUUUGUUUAGGCAAUUUGUCUCACCUUCCAAUGAAGAGGCACUACUUACUCUAUUCCUUCCUCUGUACUAGUGCUCACAGCAUUCCCCUGUGCCUGGAAAGGCCCUUCUCGAGCCUUCUAUAUCCAAAGAUCCUGUCUUUUCCACCAGGCUUUCCUUUGACCACUCCAGCUUUCAUGCCCAUCCUUCUCUUCUUUUAGCUGUUUAUGCCAGGUAUUAUACUACUUACGCUUUUCUCAGAGCAUCUAGUACUAUUUUGGUGUUCUAAUAAUAGGCAAAUCUGGAUGAAUAAUUGUGAAAAGGCAUUUCUAACUUGUAAAAAUUCAGAACCUAUUUUGGAGGACAGAAACUGGAAUGGAAUGCAGGCCACUCUCACCAUGUGGACUUCAGACACUGUGUGAUAAGCUCUGAUAACAAAGAAAUGAAAAUCAUUACUGAGCACAAAUAAAUGACAACAUUCAA